rnacentral:rRNA from 1 species
UACGGGGGGGGUAAGCGUUGUUCGGAAUUACUGGGCGUAAAGGGCUCGUAGGCGGCCAACUAAGUCAGACGUGAAAUCCCUCAGCUUAACUGGGGAACUGCGUCUGAUACUGGAUGGCUUGGAUUCGGGAGAGGAAUGCGGAAUUCCAGGUGUAGCGGUGAAAUGCGCAGAUAUCAGGAGGAACACCGAUGGCGAAGGCAGGUCUCUGGGCAUUAACUGACGCUGAGGAGCGAAAGCAUGGGGAGCGAACAGG